UCAGAUUGAAACAUUGGUUUCCAUAUGAUUACUGAAAUUAAGCAACAGUGAACCUGGUCAGUACAUAGAUGGGUGACCUCAUGGGAAUAGCAGGUGCUGUAA